UCUUCCCCUAGAGUCAUUGCAGGUGUGGAGGCUGUGUCACACGUGUGUCAGUAGGUGGCAGAGAGGAGAGUGGCUAUGUCUGUGCUCAGUAUUCUGACCUAUAAACAUCUGAACGAUUAGUAGACUAACAGU
ensembl:snoRNA Gm25407 small nucleolar RNA SNORA17